GUUGUUUUGCUGCGCUCGAUUCCCGCGGGCCCUGUUCUGUCUGCUUUCCUUCCUUCGGCCCGGUUCCUCCUUCAGCACCUCCACCCAGCACCCUCCAGACCUCCUUUACCAUCCCCUUCUUAACCAGCCAGCUUUCUCGUCCAUCCCCCAUUAAUUUCUUAUUUAGCGACUGUCCGCCGUGCGCCGGAUGCUCUCUGUCGCUCGCGCAAUUAAUCCUUGUAUCAGUCGGCUUAGUUUACAGGAGAGGGAACCGCGGCUCCGCUGCGCGGCUUUGGACCACUCACUCGUCCUUCUUGAGGGAGAUUCAUGGACUAUCUGCCAUGCCCCGAACACCAGGCAGAGUGCUAAGGCGACACGAAGAUGAAUAAGAUGUGACCCCUGCUCUCCAGGAUCCUGUCGCAUAGAUGAAGAGAUAGAACAUAUCCAUAAAAAGAUAACUAAUGACCGACAUGGCCUGCUGCCGACACGUGUUAUGGUCCUGCGGGCUACAGAAAUUCAGAGGAGGAAGACAGAUGACUGCAGUGUGGCAGCUGCUCCUCGGGCACUUCCAGGAGCUUGUUAGGGUGAGGACAGAAGACUUCAUAACACAGAGGGAACCUGUGACACCGGCUUUAUAUCACACAAUAGAAAAUACCCAGGUGAGGGCCGGGAACAGUGGCUCACGCCUGUAAUCCCAGCAUUUUGGGAGGCCGAGGUGGGUGGAUCAUGAGGUCAGGAGUUCGAGACCAGCCUGGCCAACAUGGUGAAACCCCGUCUCUACUAAAAAUACAAAAAAAUUAGCCAGGUGUGGUGGCACAUGCCUGUAGGCCCAGCUACCCGGGAGGCUGAGGCAGGAGAAUAGCUGGAACCUGGGAGGCGGAGCUUGCAGUGAGCCGAGAUCGUACCACUGCACUCCAGCCUGGGUGACAGAGUGAGAUUCUGAAAAAAAAGAAAGAAAAUACCGAGGAGUAGUGGGCAUCUUCAUUGUAUCAGCCCAGUGGCCACUUCCCUUUUUUCUGUGAAUAGUACCCCAAAUAUCUUUCUGGGACCCACUUUUUUCCCACUCUUAGUCCAUGAGAUAAGCUAGGGCUCCCCAUCCUCAUCCUACUUCUUCCCAGCUCUGAGAGUUAAGCAUAAGGGCCUGACCAAGCUUCCUCGUCACAGGGAUUGGUUGGCACCCAGGACUCAGUCUUGAAGUUAGUACUGAUUGGGAAUCAGUCCUGAACACCCAAUGUAGUUGCAUCCUCCUGGCCACGUGACCGAAGCUGAGCCAACCAUAGUCUAUCCCAGCUACUGGAAAGUUGGAUUUGAACUUGAGUGAAUGAGACUCGAGCUACUGGGGGCCAUCAUUUAGGGACUGAAAAGGAAGUCACUACAGCAGAAGGAGGGCUGAGAGAUGGGGAGAAAUCAGAUGUUAAUGUUGAUUUGCGCCAGCUGUAUCUCGAAGAUCUACCCCUAGACUGCUCAGUAACAUGAGCAAUAGGGUCCCCCUUUCUCUGAAGCCAGUUUGAGUUGGGUUCUGUCUUUUACAACAGAAGGAGUUCCAGAUGAAAUCUCUGAGGAUGUGACUCCACUUGGAUAACACCUCCCUGAGCUGCAAGGCAAGGAUUACUCUAUUUUAUAGAUCUGGUCACUGACAGCCAGAGACCAGAACUCUCCUGAGGUCACACAGCAUUGUCCGAGGUCUUAGCUUUUGUGAUGUCUGACCUGAUAUGCUCCUCCAUGAGAUCUUGCUGUCUCCAUGAGCAAGCUUGGCAGGAUGGCCAGCCAAGCCCUACUCACAGGCACCUGCAAGCCAGUAAGGAGGGUUGCCAGGAGAAUAGGGCAUCCUGGUGAGGUACCGGGAGUGCCUCUAAGACAGAGACAAGUCCAUUGGGGCAGAUGAGCUUCUCCCUCUCCAAGGUGAUGUGCCAAGUGACUCAUGGUUUCUCUCAUCUCCUUGAUGCUGAUCUAAAGGCGUUAGUUGACCAGCAGAAAUGAUUAGGUUGUCUAGAUCAUUCAUAUAGAUAAUUGACAUCAACACACCAGAAAACAGCUACCUAUCACUUACUUGCCACCAAGUCCUGCCAAAUGCAAGCUCAUCUCUUUGAUUCCAAUGUUUUCCCCAUUUCUGAGAAAACCACACUCCUCCAGUUUUUCUUUUCCCACUGACCUAUCAGUUAAAUCAGCAAAUACUUACUGUGUGCCUACUCCCACGCAAAACAUUGGACUAGUUGAUUGGAAACACAGAAGGAAUCAUUCAAUAUUUGUGAAUUCAAUAGUGGUUCAUUGAGCCAGGCACAACAUGCCAGACACUUUUCAGGUGCUGGCGAACACAACUGUGAGGAAAACAGCAGAAUCUAUUGUCCUCGUGGUGUCCACAGUCUGGUGGAGGGAUAAGAUGUAGCAGAGGAUUGUAAUUGCUUUUUGGCCACCCAGUUUCCCUUAAUAAAAGCUCCUGAUGUCUUUUGGAGAAUGACCUCUCAUCUAGGCCUUUUUGGACGGACUGCAGUUUCAGGGGCCUUGUGUAUUCCUAAUCAAUACUAACAUCAAGAUUAGUAGAACACUUGCCCUCUAUAGUCAGUAUCACAGGUUUGCUCAUUGAGUGCUCACCAAUACCUAUGGAUAGGUAUCCUCAUGUUCAGAGAGGGAAACUGGGGCAUACUGAGAAUGACUUGGUCACGUGGCUGGUAAAUGGCAGAGCCAGGAUUCAAACCCAGCCUGGCUAGUUCCAGAUACUGCUCUUAACCACCAAUCUACAAUGCUUUGUGAUGUCAGGGAGCUUGUGUUGCCUGGGUGUGGGGACGAUCCAACUGGAUCAUUUGGUCCAAUUGUACUUUUUCUCCCGGAAAUAAGGACCAUGAAAAUAGUGAUGCAAAGAUGGACAGCAUUGUUGCAGUAGCUGUCUUCCGUUGCUAAUGUUCUGAUGUGAUUGUCGUAUACCUCCCACUUGCCUGUAAUCCUGGAGCUUCCCUGGUUGUUUCCCCGUGCAAUCUGAUUCUUGAGUGUUCAUUAUAUUCUGCAGGCCACCCCACAUGCUUCCAAUAAACUCCCUUUGGACUUAAA